rnacentral:rRNA from 1 species
AGUGAACGCUGGCGGUAGGCCUAACACAUGCAAGUCGAACGGCAGCACAGAGGAGCUUGCUCCUUGGGUGGCGAGUGGCGGACGGGUGAGGAAUACAUCGGAAUCUACUCUGUCGUGGGGGAUAACGUAGGGAAACUUACGCUAAUACCGCAUACGACCUACGGGUGAAAGCAGGGGAUCUCCGGACCUUGCGCGAUUGAAUGAGCCGAUGUCGGAGUAGCUAGUUGGCGGGGUAAAGGCCCACCAAGGCGACGAUCCGUAGCUGGUCUGAGAGGAUGAUCAGCCACACUGGAACUGAGACACGGUCCAGACUCCUACGGGAGGCAGCAGUGGGGAAUAUUGGACAAUGGGCGCAAGCCUGAUCCAGCCAUACCGCGUGGGUGAAGAAGGCCUUCGGGUUGUAAAGCCCUUUUGUUGGGAAAGAAAUCCAUCUGGUUAAUACCCGGGUGGGAUGACGGUACCCAAAGAAUAAGCACCGGCUAACUUCGUGCCAGCCGCCGCGGUAA